rnacentral:misc_RNA from 1 species
GUUCUCACCUCCAGAAAUGAUGAUAUCUUUUGAUCUGUCUUUUAUUUCUAUGUAACCAUCUGGAUGUUUUACGCCAAGAUCACCGGAGUGAAACCAGCCGUUGGCAAACGUCUCUUUGUUUGCUUUUGGGUUCUUUAAGUAGCCUUUCAUAACAGCAUUCCCACGCAUUACAAUCUCUCCAACAGUUUUUCCAUCAGAAGGAACAGGCUGCAUUGUUUGAGUGUUCACAACAUCUAGACCCUCCAAUCCGAUGUAUCGUACACCUUGACGAGCAUUCAUUCGCGCUUGGGCUUCUGGAGGCAAUGAGUCCCACUCUGGCUUCCAUGCACAUAUUGUAGAAGGACCAUAAGUUUCAGAUAGGCCAUAGGUGUGAGUGAUCCGGAAGCCCUUCUGUGACAUUGCAUAUAACACUGAAGGAGGUGGGGCAGCUCCUGCUGUCAUUACAUGUACAACAUGGGGAAGGGGAAGGAUAGUAUCUUCUUUAGGGGCAUUAACAAUAGUAUUAAGAACCACAGGUGCAGCACAGAAGUGUGUCACUUUAUGCUUGGCUAUGGCUGAAUAAACUGCCUUAGCUGUGACCUGCCGGAGGCAAAUACUCGUCCCACAGAGGGCAGCCAGUGCCCAUGUGUAACACCAACCAUUGCAAUGG